GAUGGUGGAACAGGACAUGUGGUAGUGUUGACAGUCGCGUGAGAGAGAGUGUGGCGUGCGGAGAUGUAGUGGACAAUACAGUAUUUAUCUACCAGUGAUAAACAGUGACUUUUGAAAUGAUGUUUCUAUUGAGUGAAACUUAAGGUUGUGAUAGUACAGAAUUAAAUACUAACUGUUGCUGCUCUAAUAUUUGUGAAAUAGGGAAGAUUAGUGAAGCGCUGUACAUAACAUUAUUGGAGCAAGAAGUCGCCACCAUGAGCAAGUUAUUUCCCUUGUUCAAGAGGAAGGGGAAAGGUAAGGAGGAAGAGGUGGAGGAGGAAUCACGCAAGAGACAUGGUAAGCCAAGGAAACACUCCAAGGAAGAUCACCACAGUCCAUCCCCUGCAAGUACUCCUCCCCCCACCAAACCUCAAAAGAAAAGAAAAGCAAAAGAGGUCAAGCGGAGAGCCCCAUUGCCAGGUGGUAAAGACAUAAAUUCCAAGACAGACGGGCCAGAGAGACCAUUUCAGGGAGACUUCCACGUGGAUGAUAAUGGCCAAGUCCAACCAGGUCCUCCUCUGGAUAUCACAGCCAUUGAGGAUGAUCAUCUUACCAUCAGUAAAGAUGAAUCACUACAACCGGAAGAUAAACCUAAAGACUCGACCAUCGCAAAAGAUCAUUUACAUGCUGAAGGUAAAGAAACCUUAGAUGUUGUUGCUGAUGAAGAUGAUGAUGUAUCGUGUGAAAGUUAUCCUGCAGAGGUAAACAUAUUGCAAGGUCCCAGUGAUGGCCAGUUGGACCACGGUGAAGAAGAAUUAAGCUCAGUAGUGCAAGUUACCCACGAGGAACGUGUACUAAAUGGGUACGAGGGUCAAGCUGAAGAUGUUAUUGAGGACGGACCAGCUGCCAGCAUUGACACAGAAAUUGACCAAGAAGUCAGGUUAAGUGAGCCUGAUAAACAUCUUUUCAGUGAUUCUCCCACAGCUGAAGAUGUUACAGGUAAUGUGUGUGAUAUAUACAGGAUUCCUCCACCAGAAGUGAAAGUUUCUGCCAAGGAAGAAACAGAAACAGUAGUGGAAGCUGAAGUAAAGGUGGUUGAUAAUGAAAAUACUGGAAAUAAUGAAUUGGAUGAAUAUUCAAAAAUAAUUAUUGAAAAACAAACCGAUGAAUCAAGUGAAAAUAUUGACAAGCUUAUGACAAAUGACAAGGAAGCCAUAUCAGAAGACAUUGUUGCAGAGAGAGAGGUUGAUUCUGACCACGUUUCCUUGGUAGAAGAAGGAGACAAGAGUGUACAUGGAUUGAAAGAUGACAGAGAGGAAGUUAUGAUGGGUAAAAGUGAUGGUUCAGUUGACGAAGACAGCCCACACAUCAGCCUGGACAGUGACGAUGACUUUGAUUCUGCCCAGGAGGACUGGGAGGAAAACUAUGAUGCUGAUGUAACAGGUAGAAAUAAGGCAGCAGAGGAAGUUGAAACUAUGAACCGAAUGACACAGGAGAGUGCAGAUGGAAGUGGAUUGUCAGAGCAUUUGGAAGAGUCGCAAGACAAUGAUGGAGAUGUAAACGAGGCAACAAACUGUGUACUUAUCAACAAAAAGCGUGAAGACUCUGAGGUGUCAAUUCUCCUCAGAGAACCCAGCAGCUCUUCCUCUGUCUACCAGGAUGCUUCUUUCUCCUUUGAAGAUAAUGAUAUCACUGAUAUAUCAUCCAUUGUUGAUGCUGUAAAUGAAGAAUGUAUAAAUGAUUCAAGCAAGGAAGACAGGAAGAAAAAAGAUAUUCAGCCUAAACUCACACGAAAAAUUUCUAAUAUUUCUGUGUCAAGCGACAUCUUCAAUGAAGAACUAGAUGAACUACUGGAUGAAGAACUGGACAGAUUAUCAGAAGAGGAGGUUGAGGGUCUAAAUCAAGGAGUAUCUCCUGCAGAAGGUGUAGCGGGAGUAGAUUCAGUGGAUAAUACUUUGUUAGGUGAAGAAUCUAGAGUGGAGUACUCCAGUACAGUAAAAACUCCUGAACAGGAGAAAGAGACUGUUGCACCCACUGAUAUAAGUAUCAAAAUAUCAGAUCAAAAUGGAAAUGUAGAGGAAGCACAUGAAGGUGGCCCAGAUAUUCUGCAAAGCCAGGCGACAGAAGAUGCUGUGAGCAAUAGUCUGGGAGAUUCAAAUAGCUUUACAACAAUAUCUGAAGAAGGUUGGAGUUCAGGCAAAAAAAUUGGCUCAGAAGAAGGGGCAAAGUUGUCAACAUUGGCAGCUCCUGAAGAGGGUUUGGAUCAGGCCAAGGACAGCGGGUAUUAUAGCCUGCCGGUGUCACCCAAGCCAGGUGUGUCUGUGAGGGAGAGUGAGCCCCCAGAGGUGGUGAAACACAUGGCUGAUGAUCCCUUUGGAGACAGUGAGGAUGAGGAGGGAAUGGUGACUCCCCCCAGUGAGUUGGCACCUUCCUUGGAUACAACAGAGAAGCUUACGGAGAAAACUACAGAAAUAAAUGAGUCUGUGUUGGGUGCUUCUGUAACAAAUGAAUCUAUUCCUGUAUUGGACACUUCUGUGACAAAUGAUUCUGUGUCUGUUUUGGACACUUCUGUGACAAAUGAAUCGGUGUUGGACACUUCUGUGACAAAUGAAUCGGUGUUGGACACUUCUGUGACAAAUGAAUCGGUGUUGGACACUUCUGUGACAAAUGAAUCGGUGUUGGACACUUCUGUGACAAAUGAAUCUAUGCUUUACCAGACUUGUUGUGAAAGUCAGGGAGCUGAAGAGAUAGAAAAUAUAGAUAAACAGAGAGAAGUUGUACACUUGGGAGAAGAAAGUUGUACAGAAUCUCAAAAGGAUAACAAACCCAAGAGUCCAAAACUCUUUAUUCCUAUGGACACAGUGGGAGAAUCAAAAGAGGGAGCCACCUCACCAAGAGAUGGCUCUACUCCAGUUAGGCCCCCGAGGCAUAAGUACCCCAUAUUGGAGUGUGAAAACUUACAACAGAGCGAUGAGACCCUGAAGAGCCCAGACCCUGUGGGAGACAGGUUCCUAAAAGAGGCUGUCUUUACAUCCCACGAGGAAGCUGAGGCGCGUUUAGCCCAGCGACGAGCUGCACGAGCAGAGGCCAGAGAGCUGAGACUACGAGAGCUGGAAAAGCAGCAGCAGGACCAGGAAAAUGAUGAGGAGAAGCAGUUCACCACUCCGUCCUAUGCAGGUGCUGAAAGUGGGGGUGAAGACGAGGAUGAGGAGGAGGAGGAAGAGCCAACGCCAAGAGCAGCUGGCAGUGGGAGGACUUCUGGCCGGACAGCGGGGCUCAAUAGCACAGGCCAGUUUUCCAGAAGGUCAUCUGAAGACUCGACCACCGAUGAGUCCCUACCAGCUAAUGUUAGAGAGAUGAGAGCGGAAUUGAAAGAACUGGACGAGAAGUUCCGGAAGGCCAUGAUCACUAAUGCACAGCUCGAUAAUGAAAAAGCAACACUAACUUUUGAAGUAGAACUUAUGAAGGACAGAUAUACUGAGCUGGAAGAAACACAUACACAGUUAACGAAAGAGCACCGUAAGAAAUGUACUGAAUUUGAACAACUUAGGAAAGUAUCCACAAAGUUGCAAGAAGAGGUGAAAGUUCUUCGUGGUUUGUUGCAAGAGCGGGAUCAGCUGAUACAAGAAUAUGGCCUUGUUGUGGUUGGUGAAGAGGAGAAUGGUGAGGAAGGUGAAACUGGAAAGGAGGAGGAUGAUAUGGAUGAUUUAUCACCUAGGAAAAUUGCUGUUAAGAAAGCAUUAAUUUCUCAAGAAGCUGCAGAGUUAUUGGAGAAGGGCGCUGCUAAAGGUUCACUAGACAUAAGGUUAAAGAAGUUUGGCGAGGAGAAAAACGAUUUAGAAGACCAAGUUAGAAGAUUGAAACUAGAACUUGAAGAAGAACGAAACAAAAACAGAAGAAAAGAGAACGGUCUAGACUAUGAGAAACAAAGUGGCGAGGCUGGAUGCUCUCUCAACACGUUAUAGGACCCAGUCAGAAGAACUUGAAAAGAGUGAAGAAGAACUUAAGGGUGAGAGACGGAAACUGCAAAGAGAGUUACGAGAAGCCCAAAGUAGAUUAGAAGAACUGGAAACCACCAAUAAUCAUCUAAUAAAAAGAUUUGACAAGUUAAAAAAUGCAAGAUCUACUUUGCUUAAGGAUUUAUCACAAGAACCAGCGUGAGGUGCCAUCUAAGGUUGCGGUUUUCUCCUCUGGAAUGUUUCUCGCUGCCAAUCUUCAACUUGUAAGCCACAGUGUUUGGUCAGGGAGUUGACGUAACGGGUCCAUUAUGUAGAAUCUUUUCUAUGUGAUACAGGAAGUGUGUGAAAGUGUAAUGGCUAAUUGUUAUGAGCAGGAACUCAAGCAUUAUGAAAUACACUUUAUGGUAACACAAAAAUAGGUGGAGUUUGUCAUAUUUUUUGACAACUUUCGAACUUUGCCAUUGACGUUAAUGAGUGUUAAGCUUCACCAUUGAUGUUGAUGAGUAUUAGAACCUGCCAUUGACAUUGCUGGGUGUUAAACUUUGCCAUUGACAUCUAUGGCAGGGGAGAGUACGUAAAGGGCAUCGCUUGUAACGUAGCGACUCCCUACAUUGAAUCAUGGCAUUAUUACAAGUUGAAGGCUUGCUGAACAUCCCACAGUUACUACUUAACCACCUCGUUCACUGUGAUGGUUUUAUUAUUGAAUAAUUGUCUCUAGGCCAUUUAGCAAAUGAAUGCCUUGGUGCCUCUAGCCCUUACAGCCAUUGAAGUUAUCAUGACUCAGGUGAUGCAGCUGCCCUGUUGAAAAUCUCCUCUCGCAGAGACAGAUCAACAAACACUGUUUUACCAAGUUAACAGAUUUUUUGUAUAAAUGUUUCUUGGUAAAACUGUUCUUGUUUAAGCCAUACAAGUUAGAGCUUUAUUGCUAGCUAAGCGAGCCAAAGCUGCUUAUGCAGAGUGAGCUGUUGAGCCUUAUCCAUCAACGUGGGGCACGCAUCACGAUGGACUGCCUCGGUUUAAGUGUGAUAGGAUCAUCAGGCUGAUGAUUUCUCUGGUAACUGUCAUUCACGAUGGCUAUUUUGGGUUUUACCCUAUCCUCUCUUGAGACCUCAUAACCAUCUCUUAAGAACAAUUCAUAUCUUCCAAGUUCUUCUUCUUCAUAUACAGUACUGUAUCUUAUUUUUAGACUCGCCUUGUUUCUUUUUCCUAAGACAGCUUUAGGGAUGUUUUUUCGAAUAGAAUUUUAGGUGUGCUAAUUUAUGAUUUAAUAUUUUACAAUGUAUUUGGAUGCGUCCUUAUAACCAGUUUUCGUACAUAACGGUUACGUCUUCAGUUACCCAAUUUAGGAAAGCGAAAUAUUUCUUAACCCAAAGGUAUAAGUUUUCUUUUUCAUAAGUUUUGAUUAUAUUUCUUUUGACUAUAUAUAUUUUUUCCUGUGUGGAGUGUUUUGAUACUGUUUGAAAGUGUCUUGAUAUAUGUGAUCAUAGAAUUAUGUCUGUGGAGCAUAAUUCCUGUCCUAAUUCGUGCUGCCUAAUGAAGCGCACCAAACAUUUAUAAUAAGUUAUCAAGGUUGGUUAAAAUACUUAUUUAUAUCAGUGUUCAAGAAUAUUCUCACGUUACUUUGUUAUUGUUGUCUGGUGUGAGAUGUGAAUACGAACGUUGAUCGUUAUUGUUUACAUUUGCAAUGUUUGCACCUGAGCAGAUGAAUGGUUGGUAGAAAUCCAAGAAUGGUUUAAUUCAUUUCAGAAGAAUAAUUUCCAUUUCAUUUUGCAGGCACUCAAAUUGCUAUUAAAUGUAACUGACAUUUUUGUUUUGCCAACCAGAGUAAACAGCGCCGUCAUUCGUCAACGUUCGUAUCAAGGAGUAAGUAACAGUCGACUGCAUCCAUGGCUAGUCCUCCCCUCCCUCCCUCCCUCCCUUGAUGUAGCACAAACCAGGUUAUAUUCUGUCCUCUACAUUUUGUAUUGUUGCCACACAUAAGCAUCAGCCUUACACCAUUACUGUAUGUGGUCACUAACUGCUCAGUGUCACAGUUAGGUUUCCCUGCUCUCUGAAUAGGAACGCUGCAGAACAUUGUUGCCGUUUCCUUGUUCCUCUUUAGCAUUCUUAGGAAUCAUAAGCACUGUCAGACGGCACCUGUGCUGUUCUUGUUACGUUGAAGACUGAUGUGUUGUGGCAAAGUGCACAAUCAAAACACAAACACAACAGACUACAUAAGUGUAUGUUGCAACAAAGUGCUUAAUCAAAACAUAAACAUUAUAAACACAGGAUUUUCAGGUCUCUCUCUACAUGGCUGUCUGGUCAAAUUUUGUAACAUUUACAUUGUUUUUCAAUCUCAAUUGAUAUUACUGAUUACAAAUGUAUUUAUUAAAAGAUUCAGUGCUAUUAUUGUUAUUGCUGUUGUUGUUAGUACCACCACAAUUAUUAUAAUUAAUAUUAUUAUUAUUGUGACUGCUGUAUCAUUAUCAUGAUAAUUGUUACUUUUGUAUGAUACAUGCCAUUAUUAAAUUUAUUUAUUACUGUUGUAAUUUUUCCUUGAUCAUAAUGUAAUCAAGGCUUCUUAAUAAUGUUUUAAUAAAGUGCAUAAAUUUUGUAGUGACUGAAAUGACUUACUUAGUCAAUUUGUCAGGAAAAGUAUGUUGAUUUUAGUCUCGACAGUGACUAAAUAUUGGCUGGUCUAAACCUCGCUGUCCUCUCUUAAAUAGCAGUAUAAUGCAAGUGUUUGGGAGAGAUUCUGCUGAUUACACAUAACUGAUGUGUGGCAAACUGUAAAUACACCACACAAACAUAGAAUUGUUAAAUCAAGCUCUUUUUUUUUUUUUUUUAAGUAUACAAUGGUUGUGGUUGGAAUUAAUUAUAUACAGGGUCAGUUUCCUCUAACCACUUGGUACAUGAAGUGGUCGAGAGUGUAACACAACAAGCAAAUGAUUUGUUAUUGCCAGAAAGAAGACUGUAAAAUUUGAAGUUGGUAGCAGUCUUAACAGAUGUGUUAUCUCAUAACUUUGGAGUAUAAUGGAUCUGGAUCCAAUUUAGUGAUAAUUUUGUGAGAGCAUUAGUGUGGGGUUAACCUGCAAAGGUUCAGUUGGGCAAUAGAAACACUUGGGUUUAUGUAGUUGUUAUAUUGGGUUUUAAAUAAUUCUUAUCAUAGGUUCAUAUAGUGGGUUAAGAAUGUGAGGAGAAUAUAUUUUGAAUGUUAACAACUUGCCCAAUGUUGUUAUUAUUAAUUAUAUUAUCUACUGUUCCAUAGUGAGAAAAAUAUAUUAUUGCUGUACUGUAUAUACAAUUGAACCUUGGCCUGCUCUUCAGGUCCUAUAUCUUGUAGCACUUUGAGGAGUCUUAAGGGUCGUAGAUUGUCUCGGUUUAUUUUUUAUUAUUUUUUCAUACACUGUUCAUUACACGUGAGAGUUUGUUAAAUAUGUAAAAAAAAAAUCCUUAUAACAGAACUGCAUAGAUUCAAUGUAAUCUGGGAACAAUAUUAAUUAUAAAAAUAAGUGAUCCAGGGGGUAACUAGUUGUGUGAAAAAGUAACACUUGUCACAUUUUUAUAUGAAUAGAACUAAUUUGUCUUCCAGUCUCAUUCCUCGUUUUCCUACAAUUUUUUUAACAACUCUUUUAAAAAGAGUAUAUCAUAAUGUGAAGAUGUUUGUGGCUGUUUAGGAUGCAAUCGAUCAAAGAUAAUAUGAAAUUAGGUAAAAAUGGAACUGUCAGUAUAAAAACUGAACUUCUUCAAAAGCAGUAUUGAUGACUCAGUAGAUGUUGAGCUUCAAGGAGAUACACAACUUAUGAGCCAGGGCUGAUAGGAAAUAUUAAGUAGGUUCAGGACUUUUUUCUUUUUUCUGAUAUUAAGGAUGAUGAUAAGUCAUACAAACACUCAGGAAUUUGGGGAGAGAUAAUUGUGACCAGCCAAUUGCUUAUGUUGAGCUUCUCUCAGGAAUUCACUCAAUGCUCUGUACUUAGUAAUUUAUGCAGGUAGGAGUGCAUUGUACUUCAUCCAAAUAUUUGCAGAUGAACUCUUUCAAUAGUUUUUCCAUGCUGUUAAGUGCCAUACAUGAAAUUUGUAUGUACUUUAUGGAAAGAUUGGGUGAAUUUGAAGAUGUAGAAAAAGGGUAUAAUAUAGUACCCUGUCCUAGCACUACCCAGUCAUAGAAUGUAGAAAUUCUCUCAUUUUAAAAUGUGGCCUUGAACAUCACUUCUUCAAUGGAAUGGAUAUGAAGUUGAGUGUAAAUCGCCUUGAGCAAUACUUAAGGAUGCCCUGUUCAGUAAGAUUUACCAGAAGACAUGUAGGCAGUCAUCAGAGAAGGAUUGUUUGUAAGUGUAUUAAUGCCUGGUGGUUUUCUUUUUAUCAAUUUAUUUCCACAAAUUUUAGAAGUGACAGGAAACACAUUUUAGGGGAAGUUAACUUUUAUCUUUUCAAACUUUUAAUGGAAGUACUGUACUUGACCACAUGGUUCUAGAUGGUCUUGGAAGCAGUACCAAUGGGUUGUCAAGGGCUGUUACUUUGAAGAAUUCUUUUUCAUGACCUUUUGCAACAGUCCUGCUCAGUGCUAUGUGACAUUCUUAGACUCAACAACUUUCCAAAAUCCACCCCCCCCUUAUUUUCUUCAUUGUUGGGGGCGAGGGAACCUUUUUUCUAUUACCACUCUAAAUCCAUUUUGUGUAUAAUUUGGGGUCAACUCAUCUGACAAGUCAAUUAACAAUGAACAUUUUAGUAAAUACUGUACAGUAAUUGAAAUGCUCUUGUUGUUUUCCCUACUCAUGAAUUUAAGAUCUCUAAAUCAAAAUGUUUUAGGAAGGUUUUACAGAGAGCAGCCACUUUGAAUGUAAAAUAACUUACUGUAUAGAUAUAGAUUGAUUACCAGUAGUUAAAAAAAAAAAAUGAAACACAUUUAAGCUUCCCUAAUUUGUACAAAAGUAGACUAAAUAAAAAGGUGAAUUUUCUGUUUCCUACAGACGGGUGGUAAUUUCUUAGGUCAAAAAGUGUAGUUAGAUAAGGGCCUUGACAUAACAGUGACCAACUUUGACCAUACCAUAGAAAUUAGUACUAACAGUAUCCAGCAGUGACAGUGAACAUUAAUGAUCUUCAUGAACAGGCUUGUGUUUUUUAUGAGUUCAUCAGACAUAUAUAUUGGCAAGCCAUAAUCCCUUCAGUUAACUCCUAAAAAACCAACAGUGUUUACUUCUUGAAAACAAUAUCGAGUAAUUACUAAAUAGUUAUAUGAUAAACUUUAAAAUUACUGUAUUCAGCCGUGUUAUUUUCAGCCCAUUUUUUUUUCUUGUUAGCAAUCAUCGUACUGUACAUACCAAAUAUGUGACAUAUCUUCAAGCAAUACUUACUUUUUCUUGAGUGUUCAUAGUAGGGAGGGGGGAUUAUUAUUUGAAACAUUAACAGUUACCCAGUGGAGCAAUGGGAAUAUUUAUUUCACUGGGGGUAACUUACCUGCCAAUGUAAAUUUUGUGAUACCGAGGCUCAAUAAAGGGGUAACGCUUCGUCCACACUAACUCAAAAUGUGAUGAAGUGUCAAGUAGUUUUAUGGAGCUGUCCAUUGUAAGUGUAAGGUGCUUCGAAUUUGUGAAUGAUAACAGUUUUCUGGCUUGUGUAUGUAGGUUUAUGAAAUGACCUGGUACAGUAUUUGGCUUUAUGUAUAAAUUUGUGAAUGGCUUGAUUGUACAGAGUUAAAGGUGUAAAUAAUGCUCCUUAUUCAUCUUGUGUAAAAAAAUAAAUACUGACUUUA
rnacentral:misc_RNA from 1 species